CGAACGCUGGCGGCGUGCUUAACACAUGCAAGUCGAACGGAAAGGCCCUGCUUUUGUGGGGUGCUCGAGUGGCGAACGGGUGAGUAACACGUGAGUAACCUGCCCUUGACUUUGGGAUAAUUUCAGGAAACUGGGGCUAAUACCGGAUAGGAGCUCCUGCUGCAUGGUGGGGGUUGGAAAGUUUCGGCGGUUGGGGAUGGACUCGCGGCUUAUCAGCUUGUUGGUGGGGUAGUGGCUUACCAAGGCUUUGACGGGUAGCCGGCCUGAGAGGGUGACCGGCCACAUUGGGACUGAGAUACGGCCCAGACUCCUACGGGAGGCAGCAGUGGGGAAUAUUGCACAAUGGGCGGAAGCCUGAUGCAGCAACGCCGCGUGCGGGAUGACGGCCUUCGGGUUGUAAACCGCUUUCGCCUGUGACGAAGCGUGAGUGACGGUAAUGGGUAAAGAAGCACCGGCUAACUACGUGCCAGCAGCCGCGGUGAUACGUAGGGUGCGAGCGUUGUCCGGAUUUAUUGGGCGUAAAGGGCUCGUAGGUGGUUGAUCGCGUCGGAAGUGUAAUCUUGGGGCUUAACCCUGAGCGUGCUUUCGAUACGGGUUGACUUGAGGAAGGUAGGGGAGAAUGGAAUUCCUGGUGGAGCGGUGGAAUGCGCAGAUAUCAGGAGGAACACCAGUGGCGAAGGCGGUUCUCUGGGCCUUUCCUGACGCUGAGGAGCGAAAGCGUGGGGAGCGAACAGGCUUAGAUACCCUGGUAGUCCACGCUGUAAACGGUGGGUACUAGGUGUGGGGUCCAUUCCACGGGUUCCGUGCCGUAGCUAACGCUUUAAGUACCCCGCCUGGGGAGUACGGCCGCAAGGCUAAAACUCAAAGGAAUUGACGGGGCCCCGCACAAGCGGCGGAGCAUGCGGAUUAAUUCGAUGCAACGCGUAGAACCUUACCUGGGUUUGACAUGGAUCGGGAGUGCUCAGAGAUGGGUGUGCCUCUUUUGGGGUCGGUUCACAGGUGGUGCAUGGCUGUCGUCAGCUCGUGUCGUGAGAUGUUGGGUUAAGUCCCGCAACGAGCGCAACCCCUGUUCACUGUUGCCAGCACGUUAUGGUGGGGACUCAGUGGAGACCGCCGGGGUCAACUCGGAGGAAGGUGGGGAUGACGUCAAGUCAUCAUGCCCCUUAUGUCCAGGGCUUCACGCAUGCUACAAUGGCUGGUACAGAGAGUGGCGAGCCUGUGAGGGUGAGCGAAUCUCGGAAAGCCGGUCUCAGUUCGGAUUGGGGUCUGCAACUCGACCUCAUGAAGUCGGAGUCGCUAGUAAUCGCAGAUCAGCAACGCUGCGGUGAAUACGUUCCCGGGGCUUGUACACACCGCCCGUCAAGUCAUGAAAGUUGGUAACACCCGAAGCCGGUGGCCUAACCGUUGUGGGGGAGCCGUCGAAGGUGGGACUGGUGAUUAGG
rnacentral:rRNA from 1 species